UCCACCAGCCAGGAAUGUUGAACGAGAAUGUUCUGGAAAGUGGUUUUAAGCCUCUCUGUGAUGGUACCAUGAGGCAUCACUCACUAGCAGAUCUCAGACUUCUGGAGGGGAUGUAGCUUCGUAAUCUCUUAAUCGUCAGUCUUACCUACAAAAUACAGCAAUGGAAAACAAUUACUAUAAAUAUACAGCAAUAAGCCAAUAUUUAAGUCAUGGCGAUUAAUAAAGGGAGUCUGGUGGAUGACAAAGAAAAUUCGAAUGCUUGAGUAUUUUCAUGAGUAUAUGCACACCGACAGCACCCAGCUGUGACCCCAGAUGCUGCUCAAAUUCUUGGCAGCGUAAUUCUGCUGGACUCGGUGUGAACCAAAACACCCAAACCAGCCAUUAUAAACCAUUAAUCGCCAAUGUGCACAAGACGAAGGCAAGAGAUUAAUUUAAGUGCACGGUGGAAAUAAUGAAAAAACAUAAACAUGAAAGGAUGAAAUACUGCAAGUCACCAGUGUAGUAAAGAUAAAAAGCCUUUAAUUAACUUGGCUAAGUUAUUAAAGUAAUAACAUGUUUCGGCUACACAGUCUUCUAAGAUCUAUUAUAUUGACAUUAUCUUGCAACAAGUAUUCCUAUCUAAUGUCAAGUCCACGAGUUUCCUUUGGAUUGUCUCCAUUGUUUAUUCUAGCUCUUUAACCAUGGAGAUCUUUAGCUUGUUGCGCAUGUAAUGUGGUCUAACCUGCUGGAUCAUAGUUGUUCAAAAGCAUUUGACCAGCAUUUACAUUUUGCUGCAAUGUGAUCAAAUGUUUGAUUAUAUCUGAAUAUAAAAAGUGGACAAUUUUAAAACUUGUCCACUUGUGUCAGUGCUUACUAUAUGACUGUCUUAUCUUGUCCAUGUAGUAGUCUGAGAGGAAUUGUGCUGAACCUUUUCAAUGUUUGUCAUUUUUUUAUUUUGUCUAUUUUGUCUAAGUUUUUAUCAAAGGGGUGGUUGAUGGCGAAUUCACUUUUUUAACGUUAGUGUGUAAUGUUGUUGUUUGAGCAUAAACAAUAUUUGCAAAUUUGCAGCAGAAUGUUGAAGUGAAAGUUCACUUCAAAUGGAGAUAUUGUCUUUUAAAAUUCUGGCAGUUUAAUGCCUACAAAAAUGGGUGGUAAGGAACAACAACAAGCAACCAGAUAAACCCCGCCCCCUGGGAACAUGCAACAAAGGGGCAAGGCCAUGCUGUGCUGCUUUAGAGAAGACGAAGAGAAAACUAGAGGUGGAUGUAAAAAAAUAAUCAUAUAUGAAUUGCGAUUCUGUCUAACGAUUAGAUAGUUCUAACGAUUUAAAUGGAUUCGCAAGAUUCAAAAACAAUGUUCUAAAGCAGCGGUUCUCAAUCCUGUACCUCGUGUCCCCCUGCUCUGCAUCUCUCUCUCUCAUUCAGAUCGUUGGAUCAGUUCCAACAAACUGUUCCAUUUAUACACUUCACAUAGCAAUGAGAAGCGUAAUACAUAGAUGUGCGUACGGUUGCUGUGCUGUAUUAAAGCUUAAAUCAGUAGCAUUUACAAACAACAGUGUAUAUAGAAGUAUGAGACAACAACAACAAAAAAACAUAACAUUAAGAACUGUGGGUGCACAGGUUCUGCGCGAUCCUCUUAAUUAAUAUUCUCUGCAUCUCAAUCGGACUCAAAUUGAUAAGCAAUAUAGAGGACGUCAAUACAACCAGAGAACAUUUUGCACUUGAGGGGCGGGAUGUUCAGAGAAGCUUUAGAGGUGGUUUAGCGAAUCACAACACAACGAGCCAGCUGACCAAUCUCAACCAAUUGCAUAUUUCUGAGGGAGGGGCUUCAUAAAAACAGGAAGUAAUUGAGGUGUCUGUGAGAAAAGGGAGAGAUCGUGUAGAAUAAAGAUAAAUUAUGUGAAAAAAAUAUGCAUUUUUUAAAAAACAAAGCAUGAACACUUUAGACUGCACCCAAUAAACAAUCAGACCUACAAAAACCCAGUCAGCCACCACUUUAACUUUUGCAGAUCCUCUCAUAGUAUAGUCUUGGAAUAUACAAAACACUAGACAUUUAUAUGCGAUACCACAGACAUACAGUAGUAGUACAACUUAGGUCAACCCCGAAUGUCAUUUUAAGGGGGGCCCAGAAACCAUAGCGGCGCUGCUGUUUUUAGGACUCUUAGAAAGUGUAGUGUUUUAGAAUGGCUAUGGUUUUGUGGGCGCAGGUCAGAUCAGUGGAUAUGCAAGGAGAGCAACCUGAACCAACUGAUCAUUUCCUCUGCAUUGCUGUUAAUGUUAGGAGAAUGACAAUUUGUUAAUGUAAUUAAAGAUGUGAGUAGCUAUACAGGUGCACACAAUAAGGAUGCAUAUAGGUAUAGUCCGGGGCUGAAGUCGGUCAGGAAGACCAGUAUCCGACUGUAGACAGAAUUGCAGAUGAUCAAGUUUUAAGGUUUCUGUAAAAGCUUAUUUUUUAAAAAAACCUAACAUGAUUAAGACAAGUACACACAAUUAUUUCAAGGAUUUAUACUGUGGCACAGCUUAUAUGCAGUAGAUUUAAUAUUUCAGUUUUUGGCAUAUAUUCGAUAUCCAGAUGAUAGAGACAGGACUUCUAUUGGCUAAUAUAUGAUGUGACCACAUCUGUUCAUUAGUGGAGGAAUCUGGGAAUAUACUCCAAUCUCUUAUUUCAAAACAACCAACACUCUUGGUUCCAAUAGAAUUGUGAGCAACAAGUUGACAUAUAGUGCUGUUGUGCUACAGGCAUCCGAGUUUGAGUCCCAACUCAUUGAAAUUGAGCUUUAUGUUCCCUCUUUGAUGUGUAACCAUGUAAUAUUUGGAAAAUCAGAUAAACAACCUGUAUCACACAGUGUGCUGCUAACACCCAGAAAGUCUUCACUAAAUUGUCCUCUAUACUCUGUUUGCUUCCACUUUCUCCCCUACCUUUCUGAAAUGUUAUGUCUUUGUCACUUUUUUAGGUAAGGUAGAAACCAGUUGUCUUUUCUUCUCUUCCUUGAUUAUACCUUCUCUCAUUUUCCUCAAACCAUCUCUGUUAAACUCUUAGACACAAUGAACAUGUCUUUUUCCACUGGAAUUUUCCCCACCAGAUUUAAGUUCAGUAAUCCCCACUAUAACCCCACUCAAACCAAUACUUGACACUGCAGAAGAUUUCAGUUUCCAUUCAUGUAUUCAGCAAGGGAUACAAGUGAAUUCAAGACUCAAACCAAUGUUGGUGUCACUUUUCCAGUUGAACUGGAAUUGAGCAACCUGCAGAAUAAAACUACUCUGGCGUCAAAAGAGGACAUUUCACUAAGACUAUCAUACUCUCCAUUACCAAAGCCUUGCAAGAACAUCAAGAUCAACCACCAACAAUCUGCUUGACCUGUCCUCUGGCUUUGCCAUUACCAACCCUCCAUGUCCUAUCAACCCUAUCAGCAUUUUGGAUAGAUGGUACUGCUCUUUACUGGGAGCACUUGUCACUCCCUUCCACUGACAAUUCCUGCCAGUACUGAGACUCAAACUCACAAUGUUUGGGUUAUAAGUCUGACUCUCUAACCAUUAGGCCAUGACUGCCCCUGUCUAAAGUAUAAAGGAAUGUCAUGUCCAGGUCGACCUCGCAAAGGCUAAACUCAUUGACGUAACCAUCCAUGUUAACUUUGCUAAGGCUGAACUCAUUGACAUAUCAGCCAGGCCAUCAAUUGUAUACAACACCACCACCAAACAUCUUAACCCAACAACAAGAGGCAUCAUUUGGAAGUGUUUAACAACCAUCCAAACAAAUGCCCAGUUUUUUGCUUUUUAACAGAGAAUAUCAGCACAAUGCUUUACUAUUUGGCAUUCCACCUGUCAAGACUUGCAGAUGAUCCAGAAUGUUUAAGAGCAUCUGGUCUUCAGUGAGCCAAAAUUGUGCACCAUGUCACAUCUCAGUUGACUUACUGCCUAUAGGCAUCUACAUCAAAUUCAAGGCUCUGAUGCUAAUGAACCAAACCACCUCUCUGGCUGCAUUCUCCCUUACCCUGGAUUUAGUCAAAGAACAUAUGAUGGUGCAUCACAUUGUGGUACAAGGUCACUUCCAAAAUCCUUCACACUAUCCCUCUCCUUCAUAUGCAAUCCACUGUCAUCUUGUGUGAGCACAUGACUUUUCAUGGUUGUUUUUAUGUGCCCAUGUGCACUCUUGUCUAUUGUUUGACCCUGACUUCUUGUUACCUGAUUAUUUAUCAUAAUUAGUAGUUGUUUACUCCACCUGUCCUCCCCCAUUACCUUUUUUGUCUGCUCUCUAUUUUCCUUCUGUUUUCAGUUCAGUGCCAGUUUAUCAUCAAUAUUAGCCUCUUCUGUCCUUUUUUGCCCGUUCCUUUUCUGCCUUUCCCUCGCCAGGCCAUCUACUGAUCCUGUUUACCCCUAUGGGAUAGUUUUUGUUGUUUUAUUUUCAUUCUUGAUUAAAUAAAGGCCCAUAUUGAACUCUG